GACGAACGCUGGCGGCGUGCCUAAUACAUGCAAGUAGGACGCAGUUGCGAACGGAUGAGUAACGAGUGAGUAACUGGCUAUGAGAGGGGGAUCACUAUUGGAAACGAUAGCUAAUACCGCAUCCUAGUAGGUGUACCUGCGUGGUAUGAGAAAGUAGGUAGGGUAAUGGCCUACCUAGACAAAGAUACAUGGCCGACUUGAGAGGGGGAGCGGACCAACUGGGACUGAGAGCCGGCCCAGCAUCCUACGGGAGGCAGAAGGAGGGAAUCUUCGGCAAUGGGGGGAACCCUGACCGAGGAGCGCCGCGUGAGGGAAGAAGGUUUUCGGAGCGAAAAGCUCGGUUGUUAAGGAAGCGUUACUUAACCAGAAAGGGACGGCUAACUACGUGCCAGCAGCCGCGGUAAUUC
rnacentral:rRNA from 1 species